rnacentral:rRNA from 1 species
UACGGAGGAUCCAAGCGUUAUCCGGAUUCAUUGGGUUUAAAGGGUGCGUAGGCGGAAUGAUAAGUCAGUGGUGAAAUCCUUCAGCUUAACUGGAGAACUGCCAUUGAUACUGUCAAUCUUGAGUACAUUUGAUGUGGGCGGAAUGUGUCAUGUAGCGGUGAAAUGCUUAGAUAUGACACAGAACACCGAUUGCGAAGGCAGCUCACAAAAACUGUAACUGACGCUGAGGCACGAAAGCGUGGGUAUCAAACAGG